UCCGUGGUGGUCCAGUGGCUAAAACUCAGCAUUGUCACUGCUGAGGGCCCAGGGUCAAUCCCUGGGCAGGGAACUAAGAUCGAACUCAGCAUUGUCACUGCUGAGGGCCCAGGUUCAAUCCCUGGUCAGGGAA
rnacentral:tRNA from 1 species